rnacentral:tRNA from 1 species
UGGCUGAGGAAGUAAAGAAUCUGCCUGCAAUGCAGGAGACCCAGGUUCAAUCCCUGG